ensembl:lncRNA
CUGUCGGGACCCCAGCCCUGCCCAGACAGGAUGGGGAGCUCUUGGGGCCGACCCGCCCUGUGACUUCCUAGAGCCCAGCGCCUGUCCUCCUGCGCCAUUCCUGUGGUCACGAGGGGAGGCUCCGAGGACACUGCCGCCACCGUCAACCAGGCCCUCACACCUGGCCCCCAAGCACCACACGUCUCAGGGCUGGGCUGGGCGCUGGGGUCAGGGUUCCCAUGGCAACACCACCCCAGAGCUCUGCACCCUGCCGUCCCUCACUCCUCCGCCAGCAGGGGUGGUGGACCUCCAGGUGGAACCCAACUCCUCUGCAGCCUGGCCCCUGCCUGGAUCCGAGCUUGGAGUCUGAGGGACGGACGCUGCUGCAGAGGGAGGUGACUGAGUGCUGCCUCAUUGCAGGCGGGAGCAGGGCCAGCCCAGCCCGUGGUGUGCAGAGGGGCUGGGGUCCUGCCCACCCCCACAGCCCGGGGCCCCCUGGCCCCCUGCUGCCCAGGCCUCCAGGCUGAGUCAUCCUUUCCCUGGCUGUGAAGACAAAGACUUCCAGAUCCAACUACACUGAUGAAAAUUUGAGCCUCCGUUUACCCAAUUUAAAUUUGGAAGGGUCAUGUGAGGAUUAGCUUUUUUUCUGUUCUGGGAAUUGAACCCAGGGUCUUUUGCAGUAAACUACAUCUUCAGCGCCUUCUUACUUGUUGGGACGGGAUCUUGCUAACUUGCCAUCCUCCUGCUUCAGCCUCUGGGGUAGCUGGAUUCCAGGCAUGCACGCCUGCCUCCAGGGUUCACCCUCUCGGGCUGGGCCUCUCUAGAGAAGUACGGUUGAAGAACCAGCAAGAUUUGUAGGUCUGUUUGGGCACCGUGUUCCCGGGGGGCUCAGGACAGCGAGGCGGCUUCCAGGCAGGCAGAGUUUGGGCUUUAUUCUCAGGCCAGCGGGGCAGUUAAACAAUUUUAGCAGGAGAGAGAUCCUGGGUGCCCUGCUGAUGGCGCGGCAUGCAGAAAAUGGCAGUGGACAGGUUCUCACCGAGCGUCCCGCGUAGGAGGGAGGGACCCCUGCUGGGAGGCCGAAAAGCCCCGCUCAGGAGGCACAGCUGCUCCCGCCCCAGGAAACAGCCCAGAGAGCUCAGCCAAGGGCCCAGUGUCAACACCUUCAACUCAGGAAGGCGUCACAGAUCACUGAGGACAGGCGGGAGCCCAAGGGGACAUUUGCUCAUCAAGUACUUAGUGAGGUGGGGCACUCGGGAGGCUGAGGCCGGAGAAUCAUUGCAAGUCCAAGGCCUGCCUCGGCUACACAGUGAGUCCAGGAGCAGCCUGGAGUAGAUAGUAAGACUCUGUCAUGAAAAAACCAAAAAUCCUUGCUGGUCAUAGUGACACAGGCUUGUGAUUCCAGCACUCGGGAGGCUGAAGCAGGAGGAUGGCUGUGAGUUUGAGGCCAGCCUGGAAUACAUAGCGAGACCCUGUCUCAAAAAACAACAAAAAACAACCCCCAAAUAUUUAGUGAGCAGGAGGGACGGUCUCUGCUUUCACGGGGGUGCACCCUGAGGGGGUGAGCUACAGCUCCAAGGGGCAGACUCGGUCCAGGAGGGCCUGGCUGGACAUUUCUGGAGCAGAGUGGGAGUGGGCAGGCUGCCGCACAGGUCAGGACAGGGCGAGGAUGGCUCAGCUCAGCCAGGGCAAGAGACCAGUUUCCACACAGACACCUCCGGGCGCACGGGGAGGACCGGAGAAUUCCCAUGCCCGAGACAGCAGGCUGGGGUGGCGAGGGACUUCCGCUCCAGGAAAGGACAUCCUUAGCUUCCCUCGGGAGCUGGAGCGCCCAACACACCAGCAGGGCUGGAGCCCGAGGCAGGGGUCCCCACCUAGGAGCCUGAUGCCUCCCUGGGCAACACAGGAGGAUCCAGUCUAGGAAGGAAGGAAGGGAGAGGGCAGGAGGAGAAAGGGAAAGAAAAGAAAGGAGAAAACAAAAUACCCUAGGAAGAGAGGCUUCGAGUCUGUGGCUGUAUGGCCCUCGGUGCCCUCCAAAGCGUUGGAGCCAGGUGCUUGGCCCCGAGGGGGACCUGGGGCCCGUCCCGUCCCGGAGGAGGUGAGGCUGGGGAACCAACAGACAGUGGCACCCAGCGGCGCAGUUGGAGAUGGAAAAGGGUGAAGGAGACUCGGGCCUACGGGGUCCUGGAAAGUCUCCCCGUUUUCCAGUGCUGUGGAUUGAAGUCAGAGCCUUAGUGCUCAGCAACAGGCCAGCUCAUUUUUUAUUUUGAGACAGGGUGUAAAUUGCCCAGGCUGGCCUUGAACUUGGAAUCCUCCUGCCUCAGCCUCCCAAGUGCUGGGAUUACAGGCUCAUUGUUUAUCACACAUCUUAGUUCUUUUCUUGUCCCCUUUCUGUCCUCCCUCAAUCUCUCUCUUUUUUUUUUUGGUUCUCUUUCUGGCCACUGGAGGGCUGAGUUCCUUUGUCUCGGCCCUGGUAUUAUGUUUCUUAUCAUCUUGGCCCUUCUGAGGCUGAAAUCAUAGUCCAACAAUGGGCUCUGAUUCUUAUACCUGGAUUUUAACUGUAAAAUUCACCUUUUCCAUCACAUUGCCUAUUGUUAUGUCUGGCACCUCUAGUGCAUGAUGGUCAG